rnacentral:rRNA from 1 species
CUACGGAGGAUCCGAGCGUUAUCCGGAUUUAUUGGGUUUAAAGGGUGCGCAGGCGGCCAUUUAAGUCAGCGGUUAAAUCGUGGGGCUCAACCCCAUUCUGCCGUUGAUACUGGGUGGCUUGAUUGCGGUCGAGGUUGGCGGAAUUCGUUGUGUAGCGGUGAAAUGCAUAGAUAUGACGAAGAACGCCGAUUGCGUAGGCAGCUGACCAGACCGCAAAUGACGCUCAUGCACGAAAGUGCGGGGAUCGAACAGGAUUAGAUACCCUGGUAGUCCGCACAGUAAACGAUGAAUACUUGUUUUCGGCGAUAUAAUGUCGGAGGCAAAGCGAAAGCGAUAAGUAUUCCACUUGGGGAGUACGCCGGCAACGGUGAAACUCAAAGGAAUUGACGGGG